GCGUCAGUAGCGCAACGGAUUAGAGCACGCUCUCCAAGAUAGAGUGAAAUGCGGGUUUGGGUCCCGCCUGACGCG